rnacentral:tRNA from 1 species
GCGCCCAUCGUCUAGCGGUUAGGACAUCGCCCUUUCACGGCGGUAACAGGGGUUCGAUUCCCCUUGGGCGUG